rnacentral:tRNA from 2 species
GUCAGGAUGGCUGAGCGGUCUAAGGCGCUGCGUUCAGGUCGCAGUCUCCUCUGGAGGCGUGGGAUCAAAUCCCACUUCUGACA